AUACGGAGGGUGCGAGCGUUAAUCGGAAUUACUGGGCGUAAAGCGCGCGUAGGCGGUUUGGUCAGUCGGAUGUGAAAGCCCUAGGCUCAACCUGGGAAUGGCAUUCGAUACUGCCUGACUAGAGUAUGGUAGAGGGAAGUGGAAUUUCCGGUGUAGCGGUGAAAUGCGUAGAUAUCGGAAGGAACACCAGUGGCGAAGGCGACUUCCUGGGCCAAUACUGACGCUGAGGUGCGAAAGCGUGGGGAGCAAACAGGAUUAGAAACCCGGGUAGUCC
rnacentral:rRNA from 1 species